UACGUAGGGGGCUAGCGUUGUCCGGAUUUAUUGGGCGUAAAGAGCGUGUAGGCGGCCAGGUAGGUCCGUUGUGAAAACUCGAGGCUCAACCUCGAGACGCCGAUGGAAACCAUCUAACUAGAGUCCGGAAGAGGAGAGUGGAAUUCCUGGUGUAGCGGUGAAAUGCGCAGAUAUCAGGAAGAACACCCGUGGCUAAGGCGGCUCUCUAGUACGGUACUGACGCUGAGACGCGAAAGCGUGGGGAGCGAACAGG
rnacentral:rRNA from 1 species